UGAGAAAUGGACUUUCUUUAUUUUAAAAAUAGAACUUAAUUUUUGAUUCAAAAAGAUCAAAUUUUUAUAGAGGACGAGAAGACCCUAUAGAAUUUUAUUUCUACUAAAAUAAUUAUUUAUUUGUUAAUAAUUUUUAUUUAUUUGAUUGGAAAUUUUGUUGGGGUGACAGAAAAAAACUAAUAACUUUUUUUUAUUUAUUCAUUUAUUUAUGAUUUUUUGAUCCUUUAUUAAGGAAAUAAGAAUAAAUUACCUUAGGGAUAACAGCGUUAUUGUUUUAGAGAGUUCAUAUCUAUAAAACAGUUUGCGACCUCGAUGUUGGAUUAAAAUUAGUUUCAGGAGCAGAAAAUUGAUUGACUAGGUC
rnacentral:rRNA from 1 species